rnacentral:misc_RNA from 1 species
AUCAUUCGUAUGAGUGCAAAAGCAGAGUAUAUGCGAAAAUAUAGAAAAGUUGUUAAAGGUGCAAAUAAUUGCUUUGAAUGUGAACCUCCUGUGUUAUCAAAUUCUUCAACUAAUGCAGAAAAUUUAUUCGCUUUAUCUUCUAUUGCAAAUAAUAUAACUGAUAAUUUAUUUAAUAGUGAUACCUAUAGACUUGACAUUGACAUAGUACCACCUCACAGUAGUUCCGAUGAAGAAAAUUGUGAUAUAGAUGAUAUUGACAUUGACAUAGUACCACCUAAUAGCAGCUCAGACGAUGAACAUUAUUGUGAUAUAGAAGUUGUUGGCAAUAGAUCUUUUCAAUACGAUCUAGCUCAAUGGGUUGUUAAUGCAAAACUCACACGUUUAUCAUGUAAUGGUUUGCUAGCCUUGUUGAGAAAACAUGGGUGCGAGCUGCCUAAAGAUAGCCGUACUCUUUUACAAACACCUCAAGCUAUACAAGUUCAGGAAAAAUGUGGUGGAAAAUACAUUUAUUUUGGCCUUACCAAAUGUUUACAGAAUUCAAUAAAUCAAGGCACUUGCAGCAAUAUACUCAAUCUGCAAAUAAAUGUUGACGGUAUAUCAUUAUUUAGAUCAUCGAAAAGACAAUUUUGGCCGAUUCUUUCUGCUGUUAAUCAUAGUUCACCCACAAUUGUUGCCUUAUAUCAAGGAGAUAGUAAGCCAAACUGUGUUAAAGAAUUCUUAAAGGAUUUUAUUGAUGAAUAUAAAUUUUUAAAAUGUAAUGGUGUCACUCAUAAUGGUAAAAAUUAUUCAGUUAUUUUGCACUCAGUUAUUUGUGAUGCUCCAGCAAGAUCUUUUCUGAAAAAUAUUCAAAAACAUUUCUUUUUAUAUUUAUCUCCCUCUAAUAUAGUUUUAAAUAUGUUUUUAUGUCUAUAUGUUUAAUAUGUUUAAAUAUGCUAAUAUGCCUAAUGUGAUUUUUAAUUUAAGGAAGAUAUUUCAUAGUAUACUAGGUUAGCACUAUUAGUGAAAAAAGCUAUAUAUUUUUUAGCCUUCGUAGUUAAUCAAAGAGUUAUUAUAGCUUCUUUUUUUGUUAAUAUUUUCAUUUGGUGUAAGUUAUUGUAAACUUAUUUUAGGUAUAUUAAGUUGUGAUUUUAUUUUCCUAUGUUUUAACUUUUUAAUUUUUUUUUAUUUUUUGUUUCGAUUUUGUUUACUUUUAAUGUAAAUCUAAAUAAUUUUAGAUAUUAAUCUUAAAAUUUUAAAGAGUAAUAACUUCUAUUGGUGUCUUGUUUAGCUGAAACAAGUGAUAAUAACAAUAAUUAAACUACUAUUUAUAUGUAUUAGUAAAAUAAUAUUUAUGUAUUAGUAAACGACUAAACUUAUAUUAAACACUUUUAAACAAGUUUAGUUACAAGUUUAUGUUAUGUGUUGAUGUAACUACAAUAAAAAGAGUAUUAACAUUUUAGUAAAAUGUCAUAUCACCGGGCUGUUUGGUUGGAAGAAAAUCGUGAGGAAGAAGGAGUCUUGCCAUCCGCAUGGGUGCGGGGAAAAGUAGUUAUGUGGCCCCCAUCCAAAAUGAAUGCGUUUAAAUUAAUGAAAGAAGGAGUAGAACCUAAUGAAAAUUGGCGACUUUUUCAACUAAUAAAAAUAAAAAUUACUUCAGAUUGCUACGAGGAUUGUAAUAAUUAUGAUUUAACUACAGAAACUGAAGAAGAUAAUCAGCAAGUUUCAAAAAAACUGAAAGCGUACUGCUUGUACAACUUUUUUUGAAGGCGAGGAAGAAGUUGAUGUUGAUAUUAAUACAGAAAUAAAACUAUCUACAUUUCCACAGCCACCUGCUAAAUUAGGCAAAGUGUUACCAUCAAAUAUUUCACUAUAUAAAAAGGUUGUGGAUGUGGUACCACAAGGAUAUAAAAGUGAUCAUGCAACUAAACUAUCACCAAUUCCACAGUCACCUGGUCUUUCAAGCUGUUAUUCUAAGAUACCUUCAUUCAAAUCAAGCAUGGUGACUAUACCAAAA